UACGGGGGGGGCAAGCGUUGUUCGGAAUUACUGGGCGUAAAGGGCUCGUAGGCGGCCAACUAAGUCAGACGUGAAAUCCCUCGGCUUAACCGGGGAACUGCAUCUGAUACUGGAUGGCUUGAGUUCGGGAGAGGGAGGCGGAAUUCCAGGUGUAGCGGUGAAAUGCGUAGAUAUCUGGAGGAACACCGGUGGCGAAGGCGGCAGCCGGGACCGACACUGACGCUGAGGAGCGAAAGCCAGGGGAGCAAACGGG
rnacentral:rRNA from 1 species